ACGGAGGGGGUUAGCGUUGUUCGGAAUUACUGGGCGUAAAGCGCACGUAGGCGGAUCAGAAAGUUGGGGGUGAAAUCCCGGGGCUCAACCCCGGAACUGCCUCCAAAACUCCUGGUCUUGAGUUCGAGAGAGGUGAGUGGAAUUCCGAGUGUAGGGAGGUAAUAAGU
rnacentral:rRNA from 1 species